CAAGAGGUGUCCUGUCUGCAUUGAAC
rnacentral:piRNA from 1 species